GAUGAUUACACUAGUUCCCAGGGUGAUUGCCCUGUUUCUAUUUUUUUUGUACUCUUAGACACUUUUUAGAACAGAACACUUUGAUAAAUAUCUCCCAUUGUUUCUGUCUAUGCUCACCGUGCUGCUAGAUGCAAGUGCUGAUUUUUUUUAUUUUUUUUAAAUGAUACAAAAGGCCACAGCUUCUAAGAGUGUUUGACUUGGAGCCAAGAUGGAGGAACUCAGAUCCAUGAUAGAGGUAAAU